rnacentral:misc_RNA from 1 species
GAAAUGCGAUAAGUAAUGUGAAUUGCAGAAUUCAGUGAAUCAUCGAAUCUUUGAACGCACAUUGCGCCCGCCAGUAUUCCGGCGGGCAUGCCUGUUCGAGCGUCAUUUCAACCAUCAAGCCCCCGGCUUGUGUUGGGGACCUGCGGCUGCCCGCAGGCCCUGAAAAACAGUGGCGGGCUCGCUGUCACACCGAGCGUAGUAGCAUACAUUCUCGCUCAGGGCGUGCUGCGGGUUCCGGCCGUUAAACGACCUUCAUAACCCAAGGUUGACCUCGGAUCAGGUAGGAAGACCCGCUGAACUUAAGC